CCUACGUGUGGCAGCAGUGGGGAAUAUUGGACAAUGGGCGAAAGCCUGAUCCAGCCAUGCCGCGUGUGUGAAGAAGGCCUUCGGGUUGUAAAGCACUUUCAGUGGGGAAGAAAGCCUUGGGGCUAAUACCCUCGAGGAAGGACAUCACCCACAGAAGAAGCACCGGCUAACUCCGUGCCAGCAGCCGCGGUAAUACGGAGGGUGCGAGCGUUAAUCGGAAUUACUGGGCGUAAAGCGCGCGUAGGCGGUCUGAUAAGCCGGUUGUGAAAGCCCCGGGCUCAACCUGGGAACGGCAUCCGGAACUGUCAGGCUAGAGUGCAGGAGAGGAAGGUAGAAUUCCCGGUGUAGCGGUGAAAUGCGUAGAGAUCGGGAGGAAUACCAGUGGCGAAGGCGGCCUUCUGGACUGACACUGACGCUGAGGUGCGAAAGCGUGGGUAGCAAACAGGAUUAGAUACCCGUGUAGUC
rnacentral:rRNA from 1 species